rnacentral:rRNA from 1 species
GCUGCGGCAGGCUUAACACAUGCAAGUCGAGCGGAGAGAGGUAGCUUGCUACUGAUCUUAGCGGCGGACGGGUGAGUAAUGCUUAGGAAUCUGCCUAUUAGUGGGGGACAACAUUUCGAAAGGAAUGCUAAUACCGCAUACGUCCUACGGGAGAAAGCAGGGGAUCUUCGGACCUUGCGCUAAUAGAUGAGCCUAAGUCGGAUUAGCUAGUUGGUGGGGUAAAGGCCUACCAAGGCGACGAUCUGUAGCGGGUCUGAGAGGAUGAUCCGCCACACUGGGACUGAGACACGGCCCAGACUCCUACGGGAGGCAGCAGUGGGGAAUAUUGGACAAUGGGCGCAAGCCUGAUCCAGCCAUGCCGCGUGUGUGAAGAAGGCCUUAUGGUUGUAAAGCACUUUAAGCGAGGAGGAGGCUACUUUAGUUAAUACCUAGAGAUAGUGGACGUUACUCGCAGAAUAAGCACCGGCUAACUCUGUGCCAGCAGCCGCGGUAAUACAGAGGGUGCAAGCGUUAAUCGGAUUUACUGGGCGUAAAGCGCGCGUAGGCGGCUAAUUAAGUCAAAUGUGAAAUCCCCGAGCUUAACUUGGGAAUUGCAUUCGAUACUGGUUAGCUAGAGUGUGGGAGAGGAUGGUAGAAUUCCAGGUGUAGCGGUGAAAUGCGUAGAGAUCUGGAGGAAUACCGAUGGCGAAGGCAGCCAUCUGGCCUAACACUGACGCUGAGGUGCGAAAGCAUGGGGAGCAAACAGGAUUAGAUACCCUGGUAGUCCAUGCCGUAAACGAUGUCUACUAGCCGUUGGGGCCUUUGAGGCUUUAGUGGCGCAGCUAACGCGAUAAGUAGACCGCCUGGGAGUACGGG